rnacentral:misc_RNA from 1 species
GUGAAUCAUCGAAUUUUUGAACGCAAAUUGCACUCUCUGCGGAGAGGAUGCCUGUUUGAGGGUCAGUAUUAAUAAAAAUAGGCAUGUCGCGCUUGGGUGACGGUGCGGAGGUUUGGUCAUCUUAUAACAACACACUUGCAGGGUAUUUUUAGGAGGCUUGAAAUUGACAGUUUUUUUUCAUUUUAGACGUAGAUAAAUUGUUUUUUAUUCGUCUGUCUUAAUGCAAAAUCUGUA